rnacentral:rRNA from 1 species
GGAUGCGAUCAUACCAGCACUAACGCACCGGAUCCUAUCAGAACUCCGAUGUUAAGCAUGCUUGCGCUAGAGUAGUACUAUUAUGGGUGACCCACUGGGAAGUCCUCGUGUUGCAUCCC